rnacentral:rRNA from 1 species
GAUGAACGCUGGCGGCGUGCCUAAUACAUGCAAGUCGAGCGAACAGACGAGGAGCUUGCUCCUCUGACGUUAGCGGCGGACGGGUGAGUAACACGUGGAUAACCUACCUAUAAGACUGGGAUAACUUCGGGAAACCGGAGCUAAUACCGGAUAAUAUAUUGAACCGCAUGGUUCAAUAGUGAAAGACGGUUUUGCUGUAACUUAUAGAUGGAUCCGCGCCGCAUUAGCUAGUUGGUAAGGUAACGGCUUACCAAGGCGACGAUGCGUAGCCGACCUGGGAGCGUGAACAGCCAACCUAGAAGUGAGACACCGACCAGACACCGACGGGAGACAGCAGUAGGGAAUCUGCCGCAGUGGGCGAAAGCCUGACGUAGCAACCCCGCGUGAGUGAUAAGAAUCUUCGGGUCGUAAAACUCUGUUAUUAGGGAAGAACAAAUGUGUAAGUAACUAUGCACGUCUUGGCGGUACCUAAUCAGAAAGCCACGGCUAACUACGUG